CUUUUUGGGGUAAUUUUUGCGAAAAAACCCAAAAACCAAGUCAAAAAUUGAGUUUAACGAGUUUUUUUACCCGAAAAAUGUGAUAAUUCAUGGUGAAAGUUAUA